GUAGAGAAGGGCAGUGCUGUCUUACUGUACCGAGCCUAAACCAAGGACCCAGGUGAUUUGCAUCUACCAUUGAGGGACAGCAAGAUUCUGGCCCAAUCAGACUGUCAAGGCACGGGGAAGAAGAUGAAAGGGAGAAAAUGUAUCAAAUAAGUACGUACUCUGAAAAUGUGGAUCCCUUCUGCCCUCUAGUGGAGAAAGUGGAUCAUACUCCCCAGUUACUGGCCCAGAGACAAUUCCAUCAGCAAACAAUUUGUUCCUAUUUGGAACCUUGCUCCAGGGUUAACCUGGCUUGGGAUUCACCUAUGGAAGAUCAAGAGCCAGGCUCUGGGAGGCCACACCUGGAGCAGGAACUUCCCCCAGUACUUCCAUGUGCAAAACAGGACAUCCUCUGGAAGCACAAGAGCCAGUGGACUCCUAAUAGUGAGUGAUCCUUUUGAAGGAUUUAUGAAAAUGGACCCAUAAAAGAAAAUCUUCCACUCUUUAAAAAAAAAGAAAAAGAAAACAUAUUACAGUUACAGAUAAAAAAAAAUUACAGAUCAACUGCAUGGAUAUAAGGAGUUUCCACACUGGGAAACUUAUGGAAUCGUAGGUUCUGACAAAAAAAAUCAUUAGGAUGUUUUUCCUUAGAUCAAGCCUAAAUCUGCCCCUGCAACUUCUACCCGAUGUUCCUAGAAAACCAAAUACUAUUCUUUUUUCAUAAGCCGGCUCUUAAAGAUAUAUAUUUGAAGACAGCCAACAGGUCCUUUUUAACUCAUCAGUAAAUGUGACAUUGCAUCCCCAAUACCUUCAGUCAAUCUGUGAGCUCCUGAUGCUUCACCAACAUAAUGUCCCUCCUCUGGAGGCUCUCCAGCUCAGCCAAACCCCUUCAUGUUAUAGGGAAGGAAGCAGACAUAGGGAGGUUUAAAAAAAGACUUACCAGAAAGUCACACCUUAGGCCUAUACUCCUGAACACCAUCAAUACUUCCCAGUUUCAUCAGCAACCCCACCCCCCCUACGCCCGUAUACACACAGCACACUUACACAGCCAAGCCAAGUGGCCUUUUCCUCUGUGAAAUCACAAAUUUUCAUCCCUGAUAAGGUUUCCCUGCCCCCCAGCUUCCCCACUAGCUCUCCCUCCCUAGGUGUUGCUGAUUAACAAGCUGAUUUCCCACCUGGUUCAGCCUUCGCCAGCCCUCUGGCCUGUUUCACAAGUACCUGCCAGCUGACCACUUCCUCCAGACUGCACCCUCUGCUCCUUUCCACAGCCUCUGAGGGGCUUAGCAAGGUCCCAAAGAGGCUUUCAUCCCAACCCCAUCUUUCAUCUGGGGCUUUUAAAGUGCACCGAAGAGCAUUAACUUUCAAAGAACCCCCAGGAAGAAGGCUGGAGGUAGGCAUUACUGACCCCAUUAUGCUGGUGGUAAAACUGAGGCACUUGGAGAUUAGUUAUCA
rnacentral:lncRNA from 1 species